GAUGAACGCUGGCGGCGUGCUUAACACAUGCAAGUCGAACGAAGAGGCCCUGCUUGUGGGGUGUGCUAGUGUGGAACGGGUGUGUGACACACGAGUAUACCCUGCCUUACUCUGUGGGAAGCCUUGGGAAAUGGGGGGAAUAUACGGGAGGGGAGCCCACGGCAUGGGGGGGGGUUGAGAGAGUUUCGGCGGUUGGGGAUGGACUCGCGGCUUAUCAGCUUGUUGGUGGGGUAGUGGCUCCCCAAGGCUUUGACGGGUAGCCGGCCUGAGAGGGUGACCGGCCACAUUGGGACUGAGAUACGGCCCAGACUCCUACGGGAGGCAGCAGUGGGGAAUAUUGCACAAUGGGCGGAAGCCUGAUGCAGCAACGCCGCGUGCGGGAUGACGGCCUUCGGGUUGUAAACCUCUUUCACUUGUGACGAAGCGUGAGUGACGGUAAUUGGUAAAGAAGCACCGGCUAACUACGUG
rnacentral:rRNA from 1 species